UGGCUUCAGAAAGAAGGAAAGGUCCUGU
rnacentral:piRNA from 1 species